GUAGGGUUUAUUGCCGACAAAAGAAGGUUAGUCGUCCUUCUUGUGGAUGGAACUAGAGGAGAAAGGCGGAAGCUCGAUGGAGGAGUCGAUCGAACCAGGUGAUCAUCUUUAAAGUGCAUUUUACCAAGAAUAUUGUGAGAGAUGAUACAAGAGAAGAUGCCAUCAGUUGAGCCAUAUAAAGAUAUAAAGAUAUGGAGGAAUAUCACCAGCGAGAUCAGCGAUUUACCAGAUUCGAUGGGGCCAUUCCCCAAUAUCUAUCAGUGACUAUUCAAGGCAAGAGUGAAGAAAAGUCAAAUAAUACUUUUCAAAUUGGAAUAGCCAUUGGACUGUUUCUUGCAUCCUUGGCCACAAGAUUUGAAGCUUCUAAAGAGACAGGAAAAUAGCAAAUGGAAGGACUUGUCAAAACCUGGUGGCUAUCUCUCAUUGGCUAUUUCUAUCAUAAGCCAAGCAUUUCAACAAUUAGCAACGGUCAACGUGGUGUCAUUUUAUGUACCCCUGCUACUUAGCGCUUUGAGGAUCAUCAAGCAAGACUCACUAUCCACAGUAUUUAUUGGAAUUAUAAGCAUACUGGGUAUUUGUAUCUCCUUGCCAUUGGUUAGCAAGUUCGGUAAAAAGAUAGUGCUGCUUGGAUCUUGUUUCGUCAUGUUCACCGUCGAGGUUGCAAUUGGAGCUUUGUUAUAUGACUUACAACCCAUGCAAUAUCUCGACUCUUGGAAAAGAAAUUCUAAGUAGCGCUUCCAAUUCUCUUCUAGAUCCUACGGCUGGUUAAGCGAUGCAUUCCCUCGAAAAGUCAAGAUGUUGGGAUUCGUGAUUAGUGGAAGUUCUAACGUGCUAAUGACUGGAGUGAUGACACAUCUAUCAUUAUCUAUGAUGUGCCAUUUUCGAGUAUUGAUAUUCUUCAACGGAGGAGUCGUCUUAUUAGUGGGAUUAUUUUUAUUAUUUUUCAUUCCAAUGACGGAGAACCUACCAGAGAACCAGCUAGUGGAAAACACAUGGAGAAAACACUGGUUUUGGAGAAGAUUGGUAUUUGAUACCAAUUAGAGCAUGUAGGGGGUGGGCAAACUGACUGAAAGAAACCAUGAUCUGCAUGUCUAUUUUGUACAAAUGGAUCAAUAGUUUUAAGAACAUUGAAAGACUAGGGAACCAACUAGUAGAGAACAUAUGGAGAAAACACUGGUUUUGAAGAAGAUUUAUAUUUGAUACCAAUUAGAGAUAGGACAGAAAUCUCCCUGGUACUUUCUUAUACUGAUUUUCUUUGAAUUUAAUAAGUUAAAUAUUGAACCUAUUUGACACUCCGAGGAAUCUAUUGUGCUCUGUGAUGCAAUUUUUUCUGCGACUUCACGAUGUUCAAGUUCAACCCACUUGUCUAACAUGGCCUAAUUGAGCUUCUAUAUAAUAUCUUCAGAGCUGAAUCAUUUGAUGUGAAAGGAAAUCCCGACGACCCUUUGGAUCUGGAGCGCUAUUGCCUGCCAAAAUAUCCCAAGAGGCUGCUGUGGGUGUUCUUGUACAGAGGCUAAAGACUGCAGGACCUCUCAGCUAUGACUUCUCCAACACAAGCAGGCCAUUGCAAGUCUCUAAGCCUGAAAUCCUGAACAAAAGCAUCCAAGAUCUUGGUAGCACCUCCAAAUCCAGGGCAGGAGCUGUUCAAAAUACUUCCUCCUAUUCAAGUCACACACCCUCUAGACUUCAUAUAUCAAGGACAACUGCUGAUGCUUUGGAAGAGCCCUGGAGUUACAGAGAAAUGAUGGAUUUGUCACUUGGGCUAGGUAAUGGAUCACAGGCAUUAGCCCGCGAUGCACCUGCAGCAGAAAAUAUGAGCGGAGGUACAAAGGGAUUUUGAGCUCUUGUAGCAAUGGAUCCUUUCUCACACAUAUGUAUAGUAUUUGCUUUUUGUUUUUCAUUCGUCCAGGAGCAAGUACUGUUGCAGCAUGCUAAGUUCCUUUACUGAUUUGUGAAAAAUGUAUAUCUAAACAUAAGAGUCAAAUUCAUAGUAGGAUUGAUUCUUGUGUAAGGGAAACUUACUAAAUGGUGUAUAUAGAAAUCCCGAAAGUUCAUUUUUGGGUGAA